ensembl:rRNA 5S_rRNA 5S ribosomal RNA
GUCCAUGGCCAUGCCACCCUGAACAUGCCCAAUCUUGUCUGAUCUCAGAAGCUAAGCAGGGUAGGGCCUGGUUAGUACUGACAUGGAAGAAAUAGAAAAGGUGCACAAAUUUAUUACCAUGGGCU